AUGGUAAUAGGAAAGUUUCAUCAGCACAUAAUAAAACUCCUCAGCUCAUUCGCAGGUCUUAUACUGAACAGAAUACAACCUAACUACAAAACAUGGCACAUCGUUGUUUUUGUUUUUAAUAAAAGCUUAUUCAGUCUUUCUGCUUCCAGAGGAACCAAGAGUGCGAGGCAGCUCGGUGCUGCUCGUGAACUAGUAUCAGGUGAUGAGCAGGUGUGAGCGCCUCUAUACAAGCAGCUCGGGCAGUUUGCAUGACUGUGACUUUCAGGUGUGUGUUUGCCGCCAAGGAUGAAAACUGUCAGCAGCAGAGAAACAACAGUUACUGCCCAUUAGUCUGGGAAGAGGAUUAUCUCAGACAGUAGAGGACUCCAUUAAGCAUGCUGAAAAGUUCAUGUGCAGGUGGAAAAAGACUGAAUGUGCAGGGCAGGCAAGCGUGUUCUCUUUAAAAACACAUGGUGACAUGGCUUUGUUUGCAAACUUCAUUUGAACAAUGUGCUUUGGACAGGUGAGACCAAAGUGGAGAUGUGUGUCUGUAGUCCACAGCAGUACAAAUAGUUAAACCCAAACACAGCACACUGGCACGAACACGUGAGGAUUUGGGUUCGUCGUGCAGCCAGAGCAGACCUGCGACCUCUGUUCUGGUCUGACAGUCCAGUUUGUUCUCAAUCUGCUGAGAAUUCAUGAAAAGAAUCCACGUGCCAGUCAAAGUUGACUGAACUCUCAGGUGGGACCUUAAGACAACUACAUGGAGACCUGCCAAAGACCAUAUGUGUUUCAUUAUGUCCUGAUGUAGAAAACCUUGGUUUUGGCUUCCCUUCUGUCUGCUCUGUCAGAUGCACACAGCUAUGAUGACUUUCUGUUUUCAGGGCAUGGAAGUUCAUCAUGCAGAAUUUCCGGAAGAAGGGAUCUCUGCUGGUCACUGUUCCCAGUCUGCACGAGAGUCUGGAUCCCCUGCAGGAGGUGUUGCAGCCUGACUGGGUGGAGGAGCUUCCUGUCAACUACGACGUCUACCUGGGCAGAGACACAGACCCCGAUGCUCUCAGACAGAUCCACCUGUACAGGGUCAUCUGAUUUGGACCCGUUUGUCCCUGAGCUCUGUUGAAAUCGUCUUGGCUAAUUGAUACUCUCAACUGGUCAGAAGUGAGCUCGUUAAAUCCAAACCCAGUUAAUUAAACCCAUGAUCUGGUUUAAACUGGUUAGGACGGGUUGAAAUUAUCUGGGUUGGUUAGAGCUGGACUCUUCCUUCCCUGGUCUACAUAUCAAAGAAACUCAGGCUUUGUCUCGUUCAUUGAGUUGCACUUGCAAAAUACUUUGUUAAUAUUACACGUCACUUAAUUCA